GAAAGCCUACGGGGGGCAGCAGUAGGGAAUCUUCCACAAUGGACGAAAGUCUGAUGGAGCAACGCCGCGUGAGUGAAGAAGGGUUUCGGCUCGUAAAGCUCUGUUGGUAGUGAAGAAAGAUAGAGGUAGUAACUGGCCUUUAUUUGACGGUAAUUACUUAGAAAGUCACGGCUAACUACGUGCCAGCAGCCGCGGUAAUACGUAGGUGGCAAGCGUUGUCCGGAUUUAUUGGGCGUAAAGCGAGUGCAGGCGAUUCAAUAAGUCUGAU
rnacentral:rRNA from 1 species